AUGGGUACGUCAGCGUCGUCGUUUCUGGACCGACGCGACGCUCGCCGCCGCGGCUACGAACCGAUCCCCCGGCACGACGAGGACGAGAAAGACAUGUCGAUCGCUUACGAGGAGCAGAAGAACAUACUAGAACAGAUGUCGAUCCCUCGGCGCGACGAGGAACGGAAGAAGGCGGAGGACGAUCGAUCUCAGCAGCAGCAGGAGGAGCAGGAGGACAUAAUACUCUUCGAGGAGGAGAGGCAAGGGCCGGCGGCUCUGGAGGCGCGCGCGCGCGUGCUGAGGGGCAGGGCCUUCCGGCAAGGGACCGUCUUCGAGACCUGGCAGGACCUCAAGGACUCGGCCCUCUGCUACCUCAUCGCCUUAAACUGGAGAGAAGCUGCGCUGGCGUUCGCGGAGCAGGCUCUGUACGACAUUCAGCUCGGCGAUGAACCGCGCGCGGCCACCGCGUUGCUGCGAUCUGCUAAAUGCUUCAUCGAGAUCGAACACAAACCCAAGUACGAGGUAGAGUACGUGGAGCAGGCGCUGGAGGAGGCGACGACGCUGUUCGCCAGGACCGGCGACCUGCAGCUGGCCGCCACCAGCUGCCUGGAGUUAGCCGAGUUCUACAUGGACCAGCAGGACCUGCAGGGCGCGCUUCGCACCUUCCGGCGUGCCGCGGGCUACUGCGGCUACAAGCACCGGAACUGCGGGCACAAGGCCGACGUGGUCGGGUCUCUGCUGCGCGACGAGGAAGCGCUCCGCCGCCGGGGGGUGCUGCCCCUCGAGGACUACAAGAGGAGGUCCGCCGGGUACAUCCGGUCGUCGGACCCAGACUGGCGCUCCAAAGUGUGCGACCUGUUCCUUUCAACUACUCCACCGGUGCAUGUCGCAGUCUCUGUGACGGUUGACUGA
rnacentral:rRNA from 1 species